CCCUGCCAUUUGUACACACCGCCCGUCGCACCUACCGAUUGAAUGGUCCGGUGAAGCCUCGGGAUUGUGGCGGGUUCCCUUUAUUGGGAGUCUGUCGCGAGAACUUGUCUAAACCUUAUCAUUUAGAGGAAGGU
rnacentral:rRNA from 1 species